AGGGGGAGCUCAUGAGUAGAGGGAGCAGAAAAAAGAGAGGAAGAAGCAGACUCCCUCCUGAGCAGGAAGCCCAUGUGGGUUCAAUCUCAGGACCCCAGGAUCAUGACCUGAGCCGAAGGCAGACAACUAGCCAAUUGAGCCACCCACAUGCCCAAAUAUUUUAUUUUUUUGAUGCUAAUAUAAGUAGAAUCAUUCUCUUAAUUUCAUUUUCAAUGUAUUCAUUUCCAGUGUAUGGAAAUACAGUUGAUUUUUGUACGUUGGUCUUGUAUCAGUUUAAGCUUAUGGUGGACAUACCAGCCAUACCUGUACCAUGGUAUAUAGAAAACCGGAAUUGCAAUCUGGUGAAUUCACAAGUAGAAGAUGCUGACUUUUUCUAAGAGCAUCAGUUAGAAUUAUGUUUUAGCUCUAUAUUUAUCAGAAAAUUAUUUUAAUUGUGCUUUUGUCUCUGAAAGACUUCAUCAGAGGAGCAAACAGACUAGUAUAUCAGCAGGAGUGAGGACCCAGAGGCAAAAAUGUGCUUUGCUCUGCAUGGCUGUGCCAGCUACCUACAAUUUCAUGCUACCUUUAAAUUCUUGUAAUAAGGGAGAGUUGAACAUAGAAAUACUUUUCUUCAUUAACAAUGUGCCAGAAAAAGAAAGGGAAAAAAAUCCCAAGUCUUAUUCAACGUGUUGUCCUCAGGACAAUGUUUUUAGAUUAUAGCAAAACCUAAAGAAAUCAAUGAUUUUUGUUCAAUCUGUGCUUCUUGUUUUACACAAUUUCAGUGUAUUUUUCCCAGACUACUUCUGCUUUUGCUCCCCAGGGACCUUAUUCCAUUUUCAAUUUUAACACCAUUCUCGUUUUCAAAAUCACUCCUGCUGCACACAGAAAUAGAAAUGUAGGCUACCUGAGUCAACCUGAAAAAGUAACUAUCCAGUCCUUCCCCUUCCAUAAGUGACCCCUGAGACACUGCAACAUUGCACGCAUCUCCCCUUCAGCCCUGUCCACAUGGGUUACAGCUAUAGGCUCAUAUAUAUCUGCCCCCACAAACCUCUUAAGAAAAAAGAAGCCUGCCCUUUACAUCACUGCAUCCUUAGGCAUCCAGCACAAUGUCUGGUCCGUAGCAGACGCUUAGAAAAUGUUUUCCAAAUGAGUGUGCAAGGGAACUUUCUUUUGAGAGUCUCAAAAGAAAGAGUCUUUACCUUUUCUGAGUCCCCAAGCAGCUUUACAAUCAUAACUGCUUUGGCAUAAUUUUUCCAAGCAUUUCUUCUGACAUUUCUUCUGGGAAAUAAUUUUACCAAAAGUCAACAGAGUUAUUGAGCACCUGCUGUGUGGAAGACUCUGCCAUAUGUCAUGGGGCACACAAAGAACAGAGCUUUUGAACUAACUGGGGACACAAUUUGUUUAGGUGAUAAAAAUAAAUGCCAGCAUUGACCAAGUGCUUACUGUGUGCCAGGCAUGGCGUUUGAUGAAUGUUACUCAUUUAAUCCCUGCAGCAAAUUCAUGAGAUGGGCACUGGCUUUGUCCUCUACCACAAGUGAGGAGAUGACACACAGGUGAGCUGACUAGCUUGCACAAGGUCAUUCAACUCAUCAAUGGUUGAGUCAGGAUUCAAUCCCAGGCAAUCUGACUCCAGAAUAUAUUCACUUAACUUAAUGUACUACUAUAUGCACAAGGCCCCAGAUGACCGCCAAUGGGUAAAUAUUCUUAAUUCCUAUAGUGAUUUAGGGAAGCAGAUGACUACUACCAUCUGGGAUGUUUAUUGAAGGACUCGAAGAGGUGGUAGAUUUGAGUUGGCUGCAUAAAGCUGAGCCAAAUUUAAAGACAAACACAGGACCCGAAGCAAGGAAGAAGUAUGGGCAACACUAUGGAGGCAGGUGGGGGUUCCAGCCAUUCUGAAGUGAUGGUGAAUAGUUUCCAGUGCACUACACUAUUCUGGGCAAUGAAGAUCAGAUAAGGUGAAGUUCAUGCUCCAGAACCCUUAUAGAAUAAAUGAACUCAAAAUAAAUAAGUCUUAUCCAGUGAUGAAAUGUGCUAUGAAAAAAAAAGAAUUUAAGUGAAUUGAAAGGAACAACGGAGGUGUUACUAUUUUAAAUAGUACAUGAAGGAAAUGGCCUCUUUGAGAAGGUGACAUUUCACUAGAUACCCAAAGGAAGGAGAAGGAGUCACAUGGAAAGCUGGGGAUGAGGUAUUUCCAGGGAGGGGGAACAGGAAAUUCAAAGGCCAAAUGCAGAUUAUUCUUAUUGAGUUUGAAGAAAUUCAGGAGGCCAGUAUGGCUGGAGUAGAGUGGGUGAAGAAGUGGGAAGUGGGCCCAACAAGUAACUGGGGCCAGGUUCUGUAAAGUUUUAUAGACCAUCACAAAGGCUUUGGCUUUUCUUCUGUUCUAGACUGUCAAUGCCCCUCCCAUCUGACACUUGGGCAACAUAUAGGUCUUUUGUUUGAUGAAGACCACUUUAUCUGAGUGUUCCUGGAUCAAAAUGUAAAUGAGCAGGUACCCAGGAAUGUUGGAGGAUAAAUCUUCUUAAUAUAAUUGCUUAUGUAGAGAAGCAGUGAGAAUUGAAGCUGGAAAAAGUAGAUUAGGAGUUGGUCUUGGCUGCCAUGCUGACAAAUUUGGGCUUUGGCCGUGUGCCAAUCAAAAGGUUGGAAGAGGACUCUAUACCAAAUGGACGAUACAAUACUCAUAGUCCCCAUCUCAAAUAUCCUCCUAUUUUAUAUGUCAUGAACACUGAUGAUUUUCAGAUUUUUUAAAAGAUUUUGUUUAUUUAUUUAUGAAAGACACACACACAGAGAGGCAGAGACAUAGGCAGAGGGAGAAACAGGCUCCAUGCAGGGAGCCCGAUGUGGGACUCAAUCCUGGAACCCCAGGAAGACGCUCAACCACUGAACAACCCAGGCAUCCCGAUUUUCAGAUUUUUUAAAGUAUAUCUGACUAGGUGAGAUGCAGGAAAUCAAUGAAACCAAACUAGCAAAGAUAUCACCAUCACUGAUCCUGGGACAGGUGAGAUGGAUUCCAGAUGAUUUUAUUUUCAUGAUAGCAGAUGUUUUCUGAGAAUUUCCUAUAUAUGAAGCAUUUCCAGGCAUUUCUCUGAAGCAUGUUUUCUUAUAUUAUCUCAUUGAAUCUUUAUAAGAAUGCAAGCAAUCAGAAGAAUCUUGAUUUCAUAGAUGUGGAACUUGAGACCAGGAGAGGGUGGAUAAAUUAGCCACAGUCACACUGGGUGGGUCUGGGAGUGUUUUCAUUAAUAUUUUAUAGUCCUUUUUUAAUAUCAUCAUACAGUAGUAUAAAUAUUUACAGCCAAGUUACUUAACCCAAGGUUUAUGAACAAUUCCCAGCAGUUCCUAAGAAAUUGUUCAUAAUGGAUGAACUAAUAUAUUCUCCGUAACAUAUAAACUGAAAACCUGUAUUUAAAGUUAGGAGAAAAAGUUGAUGUAUUGCACACAGGAGGACACAUAGAAAAAUGUGAGUUUUGCAUUCCUCCAUCGAUCUUAGUGAUAUUGGGGAAGAAGAAGAAGGAAGAGAAGGAGAAGGAGAAGGAGAAAAAGAAGGAGAAGGAGGAGGAGAAGAAAAUUCAACAUUUUAAAGAUAAGAUUUAAAAAUUUAAAUAUAUAGGUUUCUUUAUAAGAUUCUUAUAAAUAUCCAAAUAAUUACUUAGAAAGAAAUUCAGUAAGGAUUUAGUCCAUAUUUUUCAUUUUCCAGGGGCUAAAAAUGACUUGUUCAAGGUCCCACACCUGGUAAACACCUUCAGCUAUACUAGUUUCAGUUACUCCUCUCCCAUCCUGGGAUUUUUUUAAUUGCCCAAUUGUGAAUCCAGAUCUGAUUACCAAUGUAGCUACCAUAAGAGGAAAGGUCAGAUUUACCAAGUUAACUCCGUCAAAACCCCACAUUUCACUCCUGAAGAAAACAUGACUUCCUUCUGCCUCUGAGUGUUGUGUUCAACUUUGUGGGCUGGAGAUUUUUCCUAUCAAAUGCAGCUACCCCAAAUUUCUCCAUAGAAGUCAGACAUAAGAGCUAUGAGUUUCUCACAUUAAUGAUACCACAUAUAAACCAGGAACACGGUGUCAGCAAACUUCCUUUUGACACCAGUUUGAUUCCAUUUAGCAGAAGAGACAUCACGGCAAGAGGGCGACCACUCCUUCUAGCCCUCUUGUAACUACAGAUGACUCCCUCCGACGCACCUGCUCUUCAUUCCUGUUUGUAUAGUGGAUGGACUCCUAUGGACUGAACAUUCGAUACCUGUCUUAUCAGAUACAAUUGGCAAAAACAUUGUUUUCUUAUUUGCCUUCAAAAGAAAAGUAAAUCAGUUGUAGGUGACUUUGCAAAAUUAGGUACUGAUUUUAAAAAAUUGGUUUACCUUCUACCUUUCCAGGAAAGGAAUAGAGAAGGAAAUUGGCUAAUUUGAUAUCAAUAAGAGAAAACACCCUUUAGAAUUUCCCAAAGAGCUGAAUGAGAAAGUCACAAAGAAUGAAUGUGAUAAGAAAACAUUGGCUUUGCAUCCCUGUGUGACCUCCCCUGAGCUCUAUUAUUCACCCACGUGUCCACCUACCUGUCUAUCCCACUAUCCACAUCCACCCAUCACCCAGCAUCCAUAUCUGUCUAUAAACUAUGUAUAUAGGUAGAUAUCUAUACAUUUUAAAACUUUCUCAUUUUAUAGACAUACACGGCUCUUAUAGCAUAGUCUAUACAUUAGCAGGGAUAUUGUGGUCAUUAAAGACCCACCCUUAGCCUGCAGUAUUUGUGGAGGGAGACUGAUGAGUGAUUAUAAUGACAAUUGUGGGACACCCAGGUGGCUCAGUGGUUGAGGAUCUGCCUUUGGCUCAGGUCUGGAUCCCGGAGUCCUGGGAUUGAGUCCCACAUCAGGAUCCCCCCAGGGAACCUGCUUCACUCUCUGCCUGUAACUCUGUCUCGCUGUGUGUCUCUCAUGAAUAAAUAAAUAAAACCUUUAAAAAAAAAAAGUAAUGACAAUUGCAUGGGAUAAACACUGAGGAAAGGGUUAGCACAAGUGCUGUAGAGAGAUGAUGCCUGUGGAGACUCCACGGAUGAAAGGGCAUUAUACAGUCAAGGAAAGGGAAAGAAAAAGCAGGCGGAGGAUACCAAGAUGUGGAGCUAGAGGACAGAAGUCAGAACCCGGUCAAUCAGGAAAGGCAGGACCAGGCUAAAUCUUUGGUUCCACUUUGAAGUUGUUUUUCAACAAAAGUCAUGAAUGUAUUUGGAAUCCUGCCCAGAACACCUGUAAUCCAAAUAUAAAUACUGUGGUGUGCUUUAAUUCAUCUUCCCAGAAAGAGGGGAGCACUAAUGUCAUGUAUAACAUUCCAACUGCCAACACAAACCUGAGCCUAUUGUCAGUUUAUAUUAUAAACAUGAGUGCUUGGGUGUCAUUUGACACUAUCUGCAAAACAAGUUAUUGGUAAGGGAAGGGCCUGGGCGGGAAGAAAAAAAAAGGAAAGAAACAGGGGAGAAAGUCAUUGCAGUACUAGAUGUGUGCAUUCUGGAUCACCACUUGGAGAGUUUGCUUUUCCAUUGAAUAUGUUGCUCUCCCGGGUGAAAACAACAGAGAAUUUCAGUUAUUAUCCAAGUAGGAUUAAGAAUCUGGUUUCCACACUGACGCACGGAUCUAACACACUCUCCUCUUUGGAUUCGGUCUUUUAAACACAGCCUAUUAAAAGUUGCUUUAAUUGGCAUUUUGUUGGAAAGUUAAUGCAAACUUACCAAAAAUAGUUUGUGGGAGAAGCAGAUAAGAACACAAAAGAAAAAUACAUCCUAAUUGCACAACUUCUUUGCUUUCAUUCAAUCUUCUUUUCAAAGGCAGUUUUAAAUAUAGUGGCUCAAUAACUUAGCCUUCGGCAAUCUGGUCUCCCCUUGCCUCCAUUAUUCCUGGAGGGAUCUCACUCACUUCUGCUUCUAUUCUUCUGCUCAUAUAUUGUUGGUGAGAAGGCUUUCUUAUUCAUCCAGCCAAUACUAUUGAUGAUGCGUUGCAGAUGUCUCCUUGCUAUACACAAUCUCAGUUUGUUUGACUUCCUGUUCACCUCUUUUUCAUGAAACUACAUUUUCAUGUGUGUCCUUUGAGAACUGCUUUAAAUCCUGUGUCGGGGAGAUUUCACUGCUGCUGACUUUUAUUCCUUUUACAAUGCUGAGUCGCAUUGACUAUCUUGUGCCAGGUAACAAGUGUAAAAUGUAUAUGUAGUCCUCACCUCCAAAAAGUUCAUUGUCUGGUGGGUAAGACAGAUGAGCAGAAAAUUACAGUAAAAUGCAGUAUGCAAAGGGUUAAAGAGCUAUACAGAGAAAAAGAGAAAGACAAAAGAACACAGGUCAGGAGGGCAAAGGGAAGUUUCAAUUCUGGCUACCCAAGACAAAUAGGUUUUACAUGCCAUGACGUGAUAUUAAUCCCAUGGAUUACUGGACUUGUCCAAAGCCUCUCUGAUAUUUCCUUUAUUUGCACACUCUUCAUUUGCAUAUUCUUUUUGCAUAAUAAUUAUAUGAUUACUUUUUUCCUAAAGCCACAAAAGAGCCAUUGAAUAUUUAAAUAAAAUCAACCUAAUUUGGCUACUGGCUCUUUCUCCCUAGCUAUAUUUCUCUUCUAGUUCUGCCAUAUGCUCUUCUGUUUAUAUGUACCUUGCUUCUGCACAAACCCACACACCUGCUCACCUGUCUCUGGAGCAAGUGUGCUAGUAAGACCAGUAAGUAUGACUCAGAAAGCAAAGCGGCCAUCAGAGGCCGUGAUCACAUCACCAUCAGGGCCAUCGUAGAGACCACCACAUCUGUGUAGCACUUAGCAAAGAUGUUCAGUGUGUAUUAUAUGCAUGUCAUCAACAUUCAUAAGGAAACUUCUUAACAACCCCAUGAAGCUGAGAUUAUUCUCUCUGUCUUGCACAUAAGAAAGUAGGUGUUCAAGGGAGUCAACACUUGACCAAGGUCAUUCAGCUGAGCAGUACUGAGCCCUUCCUUUGAGAACUGAGGCAUAGGCUGAGAAUGUGGACCAGACUCUAGGUUAGUCAAAACUGGGCCAGAGUCAGGCUCACAAGAUUGGUGAGACUAGGAGUGGUUCUAGAACUCCUUAAAUCCCCUAUUUUGGCACAAUUCUAAGAGUUCUGGCUGGGGGGAGGCGAGCACGAAGCAGUCAGGACUGAUAAGACAACUCUGAGUUCCCACCCUGCAGCUAGGAGAACUGUUCCCCCAUCUUUGCUCACCUUG
rnacentral:lncRNA from 1 species